rnacentral:rRNA from 1 species
UUCCAGACUCCUACGGGAGGCAGCAGUGAGGAAUAUUGGUCAAUGGGCGAGAGCCUGAACCAGCCAAGUCGCGUGAGGGAGUACUGCCCUAUGGGUUGUAAACCUCUUUUGUCGGGGAGCAAAAGCCGGACGUGUCCGGCUGUGAGAGUACCCGAAGAAAAAGCAUCGGCUAACUCCGUGCCAGCAGCCGCGGUAAUACGGAGGAUGCGAGCGUUAUCCGGAUUUAUUGGGUUUAAAGGGUGCGCAGGCGGAUUUUUAAGUCAGCGGUAAAAUGUCCGGGCUCAACCCGGGCCGGCCGUUGAAACUGGGGAUCUUGAGUGGGCGAGAAGUAUGCGGAAUGCGUGGUGUAGCGGUGAAAUGCAUAGAUAUCACGCAGAACUCCGAUUGCGAAGGCAGCAUACCGGCGCCCGACUGACGCUGAGGCACGAAAGCGUGGGGAUCGAACAGGAUUAGAUACCCCCGUAAC